UACAGAGGGUGCAAGCGUUAAUCGGAAUUACUGGGCGUAAAGCGUGCGUAGUCGGUUAUUUAAGUCAGAUGUGAAAUCCCCGGGCUCAACCUGGGAACUGCAUUUGUGACUGCAUGGCUAGAGUACGGUAGAGGGGGAUGGAAUUCCGCGUGUAGCAGUGAAAUGCGUAGAUAUGCGGAGGAACACCGAUGGCGAAGGCAAUCCCCUGGACCUGUACUGACGCUCAUGCACGAAAGCGUGGGGAGCAAACAGG
rnacentral:rRNA from 1 species